rnacentral:rRNA from 1 species
AACCGGGGGAACUGAAACAUCUAAGUACCCGAAGGAAAGGACAUCAACCGAGACUCCGUCAGUAGCGGCGAGCGAACGCGGACCAGGCCAGUGGCCUUGCAGAAGAGAAGCCGAACACGUUGGAAAUCGUGGCGAUAUUGGGUGAUAGCCCCGUAGGCAUAAUGCUUCGCAAGGUCCUCGAGUAAGGCGGGACACGUGAAAUCCUGUCUGAAAAUGGGGGGACCACCCUCCAAGCCUAAGUACUCGUGCAUGACCGAUAGCGAACCAGUACCGUGAGGGAAAGGUGAAAAGCACCCCGACAAGGGGAGUGAAAUAGAACCUGAAACCGGAUGCCUACAAACAGUUGAAGCCCAAGGUUCGUCCUGGGUGACAGCGUACCUUUUGUAUAAUGGGUCAGCGACUU